CUAGUGGUUUUCCGGCGCUACGCGCCGGGUUUGUAUGUUUUAUUUUUAAGUAAAUUUAUAAUUUACUUAAUGGUCUUAGUAAAGAAAAUAUGUUAAAAAGAAUGAAGACGAAAAUAUGUUAAAAAUGAUAUUUUUUCCCGAUCCAAUUGAUAGUGAUUAGUGACCAUAGUGUAUGACUUUGGUUUGAAGUUCUUAGUGGCCAAUACCUUGGACGC
rnacentral:lncRNA from 1 species